UUUUCCCUUCUUUCUCUCCCAAAAGCUUCGUCCCUUCUCUCUCUCCAGAAACCCUAGUUCAUUCUCACCUUCAAUUCCUCCAAUCGUCCACCUCAACCGGAUCGAGGAACAGCCUGGAAAAAAUCACGAAGAGCAACAGCCUUCAGCCGAAACCAUACAUUCUUGGAUCUCAGACGUUGUUCCGCCAUUGCCCGCUUCCGUCAUCAGCGCCAGUUCAUCGACGAACCACUCGCACAUCAACGCUUCACCGAUUCAACACCACGCGCGUCUUCCUCUCCAACAGAUCUGGCAGCAAUACUCCCUCCGACGACUCAAUCGCUCCGGCCACCCAUCACCCCAUUUGGAUCCGCGUCUUCCUCUCCUACUCUGUGGUUUAGAGUGUUGAUUGAUAAUUUUAUUUAAUUUGAUUCAUAAUUUUGAUUCAGUGUUUUCUUUAAUUUGUAACUCUAGGUUUUGAAAGCGGUCAGACACUUUUGUCCUGUUGCUUCGGUCGAGUCACACUCAUCUACCAUCUUAGAUGUUAGAUUUCAACCAGGAACUAAUAUAUUUGCAACAGCUUCAGCUGAUACAACAGUAAAGCUAUGGGAUGCAAACAAACUAGAACCACAAAUGUCUAACAAGAAACCAACUUAGUCAACCAAGCUGAAUCCAUUGUUGAAGAAGACUCCCAAGCAUCUCUUGAUAGUCUCCGGCCCAAUCGGAGCUCUACAACUAGUGUGGAUCCGGUAUGAGCGUGAUGGAAAUGAGUCACAGAGGUUCUUCCUUUAUGGUGGUUGGUGGCUGUAAUAAGAUGUAUGACCUUAUUGCAUACCGAAUUAAGUUUACUCAACACCCUCAUGCUGGAGACAAAUGGUGUAUCUACCCAAGUUAUGAUUAUGCUCACUGCAUUGUGGAUUCACUUGAGAAUGUCACACAUUCAGUAAGGAAAUAAAAAGCUUUGGUUGUUAUGCUCCUUAGAUCAGCCUGCACAUUCUUAAUUUUAUCUCUAUUUGAUAUGAUAUAGUUUGGUGAUUAGUUAGUUGUAACUUAAUUGAGGACUUAGAAUUAUGCUCUUCUUCAUCUACACAAUUGCAUCUGUGUUUGGGUUAUAAUAAUAUGUUAAUGU